UUAGGCUUUGGCGUGCCUGCGAAGAAGAUCUGAUCUCGCGGCACGGCCCGAGAAUUAAAACAUGGAGAGGCCUGAGGAGGUGGAGGAAGCAGGUAAUCCGAUUUUAGGGUUGGAAGAGGAGGAAGUCGCCAUAGGGAAAUGGGGAUCUGGGCCUGUUCGUGCUCUAUCUUCACCAACAGGAGGAGGAAGAGGUGCCCAUGGACGGAGAGGUGGCCAUGGAGUGGGAGGAGGGCGCGGGGUGGCCGGGGUUGGCCGCGGAUCUCUGAAUCUGGCCCCGGGAGGAUUAGGCCAUGGUUCUGAGGCGGCUCGAGGAGGGGUUGCCCCGGGAGGAGGAGGCCAUGGUUCUACUCUAGGAGCAGGACCUCUUCGUCAGAAGUUUAAGCAUCGAGCCAUUGUCUGGGCACAUUGAAAUGUCUUUGGCGGCAACAACAUCACAAGAUUCAAAUGGCUGGAAGAAGUUUGGUGCUGGAGAGAUCGUUAGUGGCUGCAUACACAACAUUGAAGCAUUUGGGAUCUUCAUCAGCCUUGCCAAGAGCAAUGUGGUUGCUUGUGUCAUGUCUCUGAAGUGUCUUACGAUUUUAUUCAAGACUUGUCAACACUUUGCAAAGUCGGCCAAUGGGUUCAAGUAAAGAUUCUAAAGGUUGAUGCGGAAACCAAACGUAUAUCUCUUGGAAUGAAAGCGUCAUAUCUGACCCCUGAGGAUGGCAUCGAGCCGAUGGAGGAAGAAGCUAUAAAUAAAGAGCCUUCGAACACAAAUGUGCUCAUGGAUAAUGAUGAGAGGGAGGAGGAGGACUACUUGGAUCUGGCAUCAAAACGAUUCCCACAGCUAUGCAUGUUGAUCCACUCUCAACAAAGACGUUGAGGAUACAGUGCCAAUUGACUUGAAAGAGCAGAGUUACUUCUUGUUUAUAUUUAGUCUUCUCAUGUCCUGCUUCUCGACAGGGAGGCUGCAGCAAAAGAGCAGUUAUUACAGAAGGACCAGCCUCCAGAGACCAAGGACGACUUUGAAAGGCUUGUAGCAGCGUCACCAAAUAGUAGCUCCAUGUGAAUCAAAUGCAUGGCUUAUUGGUUGUGUCUUGCGGACCUGGACAAGGUGCGAGCAGUGGCUGAAAGGGCAUUGGAGAAGAUAAUUUAUUGAGAAGAAAUGGAAAAGAUGAACAAAUGUAUGGCUUGCACUCA